GCUUCUCUGAUGUUAGCGGCGGACGGGUGAGUAACACGUGGAUAACCUACCUAUAAGACUGGGAUAACUUCGGGAAACCGGAGCUAAUACCGGAUAAUAUUUUGAACCGCAUGGUUCAAAAGUGAAAGACGGUCUUGCUGUCACUUAUAGAUGGAUCCGCGCUGCAUUAGCUAGUUGGUAAGGUAACGGCUUACCAAGGCAACGAUGCAUAGCCGACCUGAGAGGGUGAUCGGCCACACUGGAACUGAGACACGGUCCAGACUCCUACGGGAGGCAGCAGUAGGGAAUCUUCCGCAAUGGGCGAAAGCCUGACGGAGCAACGCCGCGUGAGUGAUGAAGGUCUUCGGAUCGUAAAACUCUGUUAUUAGGGAAGAACAUAUGUGUAAGUAACUGUGCACAUCUUGACGGUACCUAAUCAGAAAGCCACGGCUAACUACGUGCCAGCAGCCGCGGUAAUACGUAGGUGGCAAGCGUUAUCCGGAAUUAUUGGGCGUAAAGCGCGCGUAGGCGGUUUUUUAAGUCUGAUGUGAAAGCCCACGGCUCAACCGUGGAGGGUCAUUGGAAACUGGAAAACUUGAGUGCAGAAGAGGAAAGUGGAAUUCCAUGUGUAGCGGUGAAAUGCGCAGAGAUAUGGAGGAACACCAGUGGCGAAGGCGACUUUCUGGUCUGUAACUGACGCUGAUGUGCGAAAGCGUGGGGAUCAAACAGGAUUAGAUACCCUGGUAGUCCACGCCGUAAACGAUGAGUGCUAAGUGUUAGGGGGUUUCCGCCCCUUAGUGCUGCAGCUAACGCAUUAAGCACUCCGCCUGGGGAGUACGACCGCAAGGUUGAAACUCAAAGGAAUUGACGGGGACCCGCACAAGCGGUGGAGCAUGUGGUUUAAUUCGAAGCAACGCGAAGAACCUUACCAAAUCUUGACAUCCUUUGACAACUCUAGAGAUAGAGCCUUCCCCUUCGGGGGACAAAGUGACAGGUGGUGCAUGGUUGUCGUCAGCUCGUGUCGUGAGAUGUUGGGUUAAGUCCCGCAACGAGCGCAACCCUUAAGCUUAGUUGCCAUCAUUAAGUUGGGCACUCUAAGUUGACUGCCGG
rnacentral:rRNA from 1 species